AGGCCCAACAAAUGCUGAUUAACGCAGG
rnacentral:piRNA from 1 species